rnacentral:rRNA from 1 species
UUGUCGUCAGCUCGUGUCGUGAGAUGUUGGUUAAGUCCCGCAACGAGCGCAACCCUCGACCUUAGUUGCCAGCAUUCAGUUGGGCACUCUAAGGUGACUGCCGGCUAAAAGUCGGAGGAAGGUGGGGAUGACGUCAAAUCAUCAUGCCCCUUAUGACCUGGGCUACACACGUGCUACAAUGGGCGGUACAAAGGGUCGCGAACCCGCGAGGGGGAGCCAAUCCCAAAAAAGCCGCUCUCAGUUCGGAUUGCAGGCUGCAACUCGCCUGCAUGAAGCCGGAAUCGCUAGUAAUCGCGGAUCAGCAUGCCGCGGUGAAUACGUUCCCGGGCCUU